GAGCACGUAGGUGGGUUUGUAAGUCAGAUGUGAAAGCCUUCUGUUCAACGGAAGGAUUGCAUCUGAAACUGCGAGUCUUGAGUGUAGGAGGGGAGAAUGGAACUUCUGGUGGAGCGGUGAAAUGCGUAGAUAUCAGAAGGAACGCCGGCGGCGAAAGCGAUUCUCUGGCCUAUUACUGACACUCAGUGUGCGAAAGCUAGGGGAGCAAACGGGAUUAGAUACCCCGGUAGUCCUAGCCGUAAACGAUGGGCACUAAGUAGAGGGGUUUU
rnacentral:rRNA from 1 species